rnacentral:rRNA from 3 species
GCGAACGCUGGCGGCAGGCCUAACACAUGCAAGUCGAACGGGCCCUUCGGGGUUAGUGGCGGACGGGUGAGUAACACGUGGGAACGUGCCUUUAGGUUCGGAAUAGCUCCUGGAAACGGGUGGUAAUGCCGAAUGUGCCCUUCGGGGGAAAGAUUUAUCGCCUUUAGAGCGGCCCGCGUCUGAUUAGCUAGUUGGUGAGGUAAAGGCUCACCAAGGCGACGAUCAGUAGCUG